rnacentral:rRNA from 1 species
AUUGAACGCUGGCGGCAGGCCUAACACAUGCAAGUCGAGCGCGCGUGGGACGGGUGAGUAAUGUAUGGGGACUGCCCGCUAGAGGGGGAUAACUAUUGGCAACGGUAUCUAUUAUCCCACACUCUCUGAUACCGCCUAUGGGAUUAGCUAGUGGGUGGGGUAAUGGCUCACCUAGGCGACGCUCCCUAGCUGGUCUGAGAGGAUGAUCAGCCACACUGGGACUGAGACACGGCCCAGACUCCUACGGAGGCAGCAGUGGGGAAUAUUGCACAAUGGGCGCAAGCCUGAUGCAGCCAUGCCGCGUGUAUGAAGAAGGCCCUAGGGUUGUAAAGUACUUUCAGUCGGGAGGCGUUACCGACAGAAGAAGCACCGGCUAACUCCGUGCCAGCAGCCGCGGUAAUAC